CACGGGGGGGAGCAAGCGUUGUUCGGAAUCACUGGGCGUAAAGGGCGUGUAGGCGGUUCGGUAAGUGGAAUGUGAAAUGCUCCGGCUCACCCGGAGUACUGCAUCCCCAAACUGCCGAGCUUGAGUAUGGGAGAGGAUGAGGGGAAUUCCUGGUGUAGCGGUGAAAAUGCGUAGAUAUCAGGAGGAACACCGGUGGCGAAAGGGCGCUCAUCUGGCCCCAAUACUGACGCUGAGGCGCGAAAGCUAGGGGAGCAAAACGGG
rnacentral:rRNA from 1 species